GGGAUCUCAUAGAGAGUUUGGUCUUUGCACGAUGGGCUUCAAAGACUGUUACAGCUUCAGCAAGUUGUGUUCAGAAACUGGUCGUCUGUUACAUUUCAGAGUCAUCAUUUCGGGAGAGGGAGAGAUCGACUGAUUGCCAUUAAAGAUUCGUUAAAGGAAGUUGGGGACGUGCUUAUGCUCUUACAGCCACAUCAAUAUUGUCUGUCUUUUUCUCCUCUUUUUUCUGACAGAUUGCUGUUUGAUUUUGCAUCU
rnacentral:misc_RNA from 1 species